rnacentral:lncRNA from 1 species
AGGCCAACAAAUACCUCCGGUAUCUGUCAAGUAUAGGGCUUUCUCCUCCACCGUAUUCGGGACUGUCCUGAUGCUCAGGCUUUAAAUCUGGGCUAGCUUCACGGCGGUAAUCAUCAGGACUAACCCUCUCUGUUCGAGGGCUAGGGAUCCGACCAUGAUCAUACUCGGGAGUAAGCACAUCUCUCGGGAUGGAGCCUCGCACAGGUUCAGGGCUAGGCCUCUCUCUUCGAGGACUCAUGCUGUAUACAGGCCCCCUAAGCUGGUGAUCUGCACUAAAUUGCAAAUUAGGAUUCAUAAGAAAUUGGGGAAAAUUGCAGCAGCGAUAGAUUUGGUUGAUUAAAUAACAAACUUGCCGAUUAUAUGAAAACUUGUUGUCGAUCUAAAGUAAAUUGCGAUUAGAGAUGAUGAGAAGAGCAGAAAUCAAAGCGAAACUUUGGUUAUGUUGUGUUUCACCAACUGGGCUGCAUUUUAUUCCAAUUCGGAUAUCCAGCCC